rnacentral:rRNA from 1 species
GAAUUCAACUCCUACGGGAGGCAGCAGUGGGGAAUUUUGGACAAUGGGCGAAAGCCUGAUCCAGCCAUGCCGCGUGCAGGAUGAAGGCCUUCGGGUUGUAAACUGCUUUUGUACGGAACGAAAAGCCUCUUUCUAAUAAAGAGGGGUCAUGACGGUACCGUAAGAAUAAGCACCGGCUAACUACGUGCCAGCAGCCGCGGUAAUACGUAGGGUGCAAGCGUUAAUCGGAAUUACUGGGCGUAAAGCGUGCGCAGGCGGUUUUGUAAGACAGAGGUGAAAUCCCCGGGCUCAACCUGGGAACUGCCUUUGUGACUGCAAGGCUGGAGUGCGGCAGAGGGGGAUGGAAUUCCGCGUGUAGCAGUGAAAUGCGUAGAUAUGCGGAGGAACACCGAUGGCGAAGGCAAUCCCCUGGGCCUGCACUGACGCUCAUGCACGAAAGCGUGGGGAGCAAACAGGAUUAGAUACCCUAGUAGUCCAGGCGUU